UCAGAGGGCCGGGCGGCCGCGUUGCGCGUUCGCGCGCACCGAGGAAAGUCCGGGCUCCACGGAAACGACGGUGCCGGGUAACGCUCGGCGGGGGUAACCCCAGGGAAAGUGCCACAGAGAGCAGACCGCCGACGCCCCCCGUGGGCAGGCAAGGGUGAAAGGGUGCGGCAAGAGCGCACCGCGCGGCCGGCAACGGCAGCGGCAUGGCAAACCCCACCGGGAGCAAGACCGAAUAGGGGUGCCACAGGGGCUUUGUUCCGGCCCGGCACCCGGGUUGGUCGCUUGAUCCCGAACGCGAGUUCGGGGCUAGAGGAAUGGUCGCACAUCCCGCUUUGGCGGGAGGACAAAACCCGGCUUACAGGCCCUCUGACGCC
rnacentral:RNase_P_RNA from 1 species